rnacentral:rRNA from 1 species
UACGAAGGGGGCUAGCGUUGCUCGGAAUCUCUGGGCGUAAAGGGUGCGUAGGCGGGUCUUUAAGUCAGGGGUGAAAUCCUGGAGCUCAACUCCAGAACUGCCUUUGAUACUGAAGAUCUUGAGUCCGGGAGAGGUGAGUGGAACUGCGAGUGUAGAGGUGAAAUUCGUAGAUAUUCGCAAGAACACCAGUGGCGAAGGCGGCUCACUGGCCCGGUACUGACGCUGAGGCACGAAAGCGUGGGGAGCAAACAGG